GGGGCUGUAGCUCAGUGGUAGAGGGCUUGCCUAGCAUGCAGGAGGCAGUGGGUUCGAUCCUCAGCACCUCUU
rnacentral:tRNA from 1 species